ACUUUAUUGUAUAAGCACUGUGCUAAAAUUAUAGAAACUAGGACCAUAUCUUGGUUUUUGUAAUAAUGCUAGCAGAGUGAGACAGGAAGAAAAGUAAUUGCACUAGAUUGUGAAGACUGGGGUACACCUGUUUCUUAAUGUUCAGUGUCCUUUGUCUUAAGAUUUGGUGUAGUAUAU
rnacentral:snoRNA from 1 species